GUACACAUAGCCAAGUCUGGAAAGGCUACGGACUGCAACUCCGUGAACGUAGGUUCAAAUCCUACUGUGUGCU
rnacentral:tRNA from 1 species